rnacentral:rRNA from 1 species
GUGAGGAAUAUUGCGCAAUGGAGGCAACUCUGACGCAGCCAUGCCGCGUGCAGGAAGAAGGCGCUACGCGUUGUAAACUGCUUUUAACCGGGAAGAAACCCCAGGACGUGUCCUGGGUUGACGGUACCGGAGGAAUAAGCACCGGCUAACUUCGUGCCAGCAGCCGCGGUAAUACGAAGGGUGCAAGCGUUAUCCGGAUUCAUUGAGUUUAAAGGGUGCGUAGGCGGAGCGUUAAGUCAGUGGUGAAAUCCUGCAGCUUAACUGUAGACUUGCCAUUGAUACUGGCGCUCUUGAGUGCGCUUGAAGUGGGCGGAAUGUGCCGUGUAGCGGUGAAAUGCUUAGAUAUGGCACAGAACACCAAUUGCGAAGGCAGCUCACUAAGGCGAUACUGACGCUGAGGCACGAAAGCGUGGGGAUCGAACAGGAUUAGAUACCCUAGUAGUCC